rnacentral:rRNA from 1 species
CUCAGGAUGAACGCUGGCGGUAUGCUUAACACAUGCAAGUCGAACGGUCUCUUCGGAGAUAGUGGCGGACGGGUGAGUAACGCGUGAGAACAUGCCUUUAGAUUGGGGACAACAGUUGGAAACGACUGCUAAUACCGAAUGUGCCUUAGGGUGAAAGAUUUAUUGUCUAGAGAUUGGCUCGCGUCAGAUUAGCUAGUUGGAGUGGUAACGGCACACCAAGGCGACGAUCUGUACUUGGUCUGAGAGGAUGACCAGGCACACUGGAACUGAGACACGGUCCAGACUCCUACGGGAGGCAGCAGUGGGGAAUUUUCCGCAAUGGGCGAAAGCCUGACGGAGCAAUACCGCGUGAGGGAGGACGGCUUUUGGGUUGUAAACCUCUUUUAUCAGGGAAGAAUCGAUGACGGUACCUGAUGAAUCAGCAUCGGCUAACUCCGUGCCAGCAGCCGCGGUAAUACGGAGGAUGCAAGCGUUAUCCGGAAUUAUUGGGCGUAAAGCGUCCGUAGGUGGUUUAUCAAGUCUGCUGUCAAAGCGUGCGGCUUAACCGCAUAAGGGCAGUGGAAACUGAUGAACUAGAGUGCGAUAGGGGUAACAGGAAUUCCCAGUGUAGCGGUGAAAUGCGUAGAUAUUGGGAAGAACACCAGCGGCGAAAGCGUGUUACUGGGUCUGCACUGACACUGAGGGACGAAAGCUAGGGGAGCGAAAGGGAUUAGAUACCCCUGUAGUCCUAGCCGUAAACGAUGACAACUAGGCGUGGUUCGUAUCGACCCGAGCCGUGCCGUAGCCAACGCGUUAAGUUGUCCGCCUGGGGAGUACGCACGCAAGUGUGAAACUCAAAGGAAUUGACGGGGGCCCGCACAAGCGGUGGAGUAUGUGGUUUAAUUCGAUGCAACGCGAAGAACCUUACCAAGGCUUGACAUCCUCGGAACCCUGAUGAAAGUUAGGGGUGCCUUCGGGAGCCGAGAGACAGGUGGUGCAUGGCUGUCGUCAGCUCGUGUCGUGAGAUGUUGGGUUAAGUCCCGCAACGAGCGCAACCCACGUUUUUAGUUGCCAGCAUUCAGUUGGGCACUCUAGAGAGACUGCCGGUGACAAACCGGAGGAAGGUGUGGAUGACGUCAAGUCAGCAUGCCCCAUACGCCUUGGGCUACACACGUACUACAAUGCGUCGGACAAAGAGCAGCCAGCCAGCGAUGGUGAGCCAAUCUCAU